UGGGUGGAUGGAUGGAAGGAAGGAAGGAUGGAUGGCUGAUGGGUGGAUGGAGGGAUGGAUGGAAGGAAGGUUGGAUGACGAUGGAUGAAUAGUGGAGCAUGGGUGGGUGAUGGUUGCCAGGGAGAUGGCAGGGCAAGCCCAGGUCUCCUCAGAUCAUGUUCCAUCACUUUUGGGUGGACUGUUUUGCACCCUCCUCCCCCACCUCUGCCAACAUUCCACAUCCUUCUCUGGAAAAGUUUUUCUGGUUUCCCCAAAGAUAAUGGCUCUUUCCCCACACUUUCCAGGAAUCAGCCCACCAGGAUGCCAUCCUCCUGAGGACCUUGUGGGAAAUGAGCAAAACAGAAAAACCGCAGAGCCAAGCUCAGCCUCAGCACCGCCUCAUUGGAUGUGCCUGAUUCACCUCUUUGGUCAUUGCCUUCAUGAAAAGGACCAUUUGCUUCCCCCCACACCCCGACCCCAGAAGAGACAGCCAAGGGCUGUGAAGACAUGUGUCUGUCCCCAGUGCCUUAGAAAGGGCACAGGAGAUCCGGAGGCCAGAGGACUCACCGUCAGCACUCCAGGGAACUGAGUGACACCUCAAGCUGGUCCCUGGUCCUCUCUGAACUUCAGUCUCUUCAUCUGUCAAGUGGAGGAGGGCAUGCUUCAUGUGGCAAGAGUUCUUUUUAGCACUGAAGUUCCAGAGCGCCUCCCCACUAUUUGCUCACUGUGUGAACAUCUGAAUGCUGUAAACUCCUAUGCCUCGAUUUCCACAGCAGUCCAGUUUUAAUAUGAAUUGUGCUUCCUCUGUGAAGCUUCAGUGGGAUGGUGCAUAGAGAUGUACUCCAUGCAGUCUGCAGGUCAGACUCACGAGGAUGGUCUUCCUGCCACAGUACACAGCCCCUGUGUUUGAGAGGUUCAUGUACGGAGGUUUAUAUCUUGUUCACACAGCAGUCCAGCGCCGACUUGACUUCCGCAGCUGGGCAUCUCUUGUGGAAGUGCUGCUCCUUCCUGUCUUCCACGUCUGCCUCCUCCUGGUCCUUGGAGGCCUCUCCACUCAGCAGGUAGAUGAAGAAGAAUGGGGAAGGUUGCAGAUUCAUGUCUUAUGGAUCCACCGCGGAGCAGUCAACACCAAUAUCUUCACACUCCAUCACCCCUAGCUGCACGGGAGGCUGGAGAUGUGGGUGUCUGUGUGCCCUGGAGUGAAGGGGAACAGUUUCCAGGACAGUUCAUCCAUCUCUAUCAUAGAAACCAUAGUCUACAAGAUCAAUGAGAGCCAUCUUGAUCCUUUUGUGGAAAGAGAGACCCCUUGAUUUACCAGGAUUGGGGAAGUCUCAAGAUAAUCACUGUGUCAAUAUGUGUGCGAGUAUGUGCGUGAGUGCAUGUUCCCCAGAAACCAAAGCCCGAGGCAAGGCUCACAGGCUCCUGCCUUCUUAGGAGGUGCAACCCCAGGAAGCGGAAGCGAGGGCAAGGAGAACUAAUAGGAAGGUCCAGUCUGAACUGACCAGCACCUGGUAUUAAGAGCCAGCCAUUGCUUGGUUUUAUGGGGCCAUCUUCCUAAAGUCCAUAUAAACAGUUGCUGCUCAGGACAG
ensembl:lncRNA